rnacentral:rRNA from 1 species
GACGAACGCUGGCGGCGUGCUUAACACAUGCAAGUCGAACGGUGAAGCGAGUGCUUGCACUCGUGGAUCAGUGGCGAACGGGUGAGUAACACGUGAGUAACCUGCCCAUCACUCUGGGAUAAGCACUGGAAACGGUGUCUAAUACUGGAUACGACCAACCCUUGCAUGGGGUGUUGGUGGAAAGAUUUAUCGGUGAUGGAUGGACUCGCGGCCUAUCAGCUUGUUGGCGGGGUAAUGGCCCACCAAGGCGACGACGGGUAGCCGGCCUGAGAGGGUGACCGGCCACACUGGGACUGAGACACGGCCCAGACUCCUACGGGAGGCAGCAGUGGGGAAUAUUGCACAAUGGGCGAAAGCCUGAUGCAGCGACGCCGCGUGAGGGAUGACGGCCUUCGGGGUGUAAACCUCUUUCAGCAGGGAAGAAGCGAAAGUGACGGUACCUGCAGAAGAGGCACCGGCUAACUACG